rnacentral:lncRNA from 1 species
UACCCUGGGCUUCUCCAGGAGACUGAUACUAUUCCUUCCAACCAACAGAUCUGGCUUAAGGGCUGUGUCUGGGUGACCUCAUCUGAUUCCCAUGAAGGCUGGUCCCCUACAAACUUAAAUCCUCCAACAGGUCUCCUGCCUGUAAGCCCACGGGCCUCAACAGGGAACAAGGCCCAGAAAGAGCCUGGAGACACUAAGCCUGAUCUGUGUGACCUAAAGAGUGUCCGCUGCAGUUGCAGCAUCCCUCAUGUCUCCAAAGCUGUCCCUUCUUCCACACAAAGUGCCACGAUACCACUACGCCAUCAGGUGACAGCAGAUCAAGUUAGUAUGUACAAGGGGAUGAAGGGUGGUGAGGAGAAGAAAACUUGUGGGCGUUGGUUUUCUCCUUCCAGCACUAGUUAAGGGGUCUGAACUCAGGUCACCGUCAAUCCUGGAAGCAAGUGGAUUUACCUCGAGCCAUCCCUCCUACCUGUGUACGGGAAGUCUGAACUGCUGCCACGUCAAUGACUCUCCUCAGAUUUCCCCAAGUAGCUGAGAGACUUGGAACAGGUUGCUUCCUUUACUGGAUCUGAAUGCUCUCAAUAAAAUAUGCUUGCAUUAGUCA